UGAUCGUUAAGGAUUCUCUCAUCUCUUUCACGGCAGAUGGGGACUCCAUCGAUGCAGCUUGGAAUGAAGUCAAACGAAUCUCUGAGUCGCUACCCAAGCCUAGCAACAGUACUUUCGCACGUUUCUUUCCUACGGAUGCCUGUGACACACCCAUACUCAGAAUGCGCGAAGAAUACCCUCAUAAGGUAUAGGAACACUUCACAUACAUAGAAGCAUAAACUAAUGCAUGGCAGUCAUAUCUAGAAGUGAACCCGGAACCUUCGCCGUCUGUGAUAUCGAAGGCUAUGAGAGGAGGAUAUGUUUAUUUUCCAGGAUCUACACCUAUCGGCCGAAAAUUUACAAUACUUAGGCCGUUAUAUGUUUUAGGGAAUGUA
rnacentral:lncRNA from 1 species